GACGAACGCUGGCGGCGUGCUUAACACAUGCAAGUCGAACGGAAAGGCCCUGCUUUUGUGGGGUGCUCGAGUGGCGAACGGGUGAGUAACACGUGAGUAACCUGCCCUUGACUUUGGGAUAACUUCAGGAAACUGGGGCUAAUACCGGAUAGGAGCUCCUGCUGCAUGGUGGGGGUUGGAAAGUUUCGGCGGUUGGGGAUGGACUCGCGGCUUAUCAGCUUGUUGGUGGGGUAGUGGCUUACCAAGGCUUUGACGGGUAGCCGGGCUGAGAGGGUGACCGGCCACACUGGGACUGAGAUACGGCACAGACUCCUACGGGAGGCAGCAGUGGGGAAUAGUGCACAAUGGGCGGAAGCCUGAUGCAGCAACGCCGCGUGCGGGAUGACGGCCUUCGGGUUGUAAACCGCUUUCGCCUGUGACGAAGCGUGAGUGACGGUAAUGGGUAAAGAAGCACCGGCUAACUACGUG
rnacentral:rRNA from 1 species